GAGCAGUGACCUAUCGAUGGUUCCACUGAAGCCCAAGGCUUUUGGAUGAAAAGGGAAUCCGGUGAGGUGUAGCCAAAAGGCGCCAAACCCGGAACUGCCCCCGCAACUGUGAGCGGCGAGCCACUGGGAUAAGCCACUGAUCUGCACAGCAGGUCGGGAAGGCCCCAGACCGGCCCAGACCCGCAAGUCAGGAGACCUGCCCUCGUGAGUUGACCAUAG
rnacentral:ncRNA from 18 species